rnacentral:tRNA from 1 species
GCAGUGAUAACUCAGUGGUAGAAUUCUCGCUUUCCACGCAAGAGACCUGGAUUCAAUUCCUGGCCAUUGCA